rnacentral:rRNA from 1 species
AGCGAACGCUGGCGGCGUGCCUAACACAUGCAAGUCGAACGUGAAAGGGAGCAAUCCCAAGUAAAGUGGCGUACGGGUGAGUAACACGUAGGUAAUCUACCCCAGAAUCUGGAGUAACCGGCCGAAAGGCUGGCUAAUACUGGAUAGAGCGACGGAAUCCGUAAUUGGGUUUUUCGGGAAAGGGAGCCUGUAAAAAGGCCUUCGUUCUGGGAUGAGCCUGCGUCCCAUCAGCUAGUUGGUGAGGUAAAAGCUUACCAAGGCAAUGACGGGUAGCUGGUCUGAGAGGACGAUCAGCCACACUGGAACUGAAACACGGUCCAGACUCCUACGGGAGGCAGCAGUGGGGAAUCUUGCGCAAUGGACGAAAGUCUGACGCAGCAACGCCGCGUGAGUGAAGAAGGCCUUCGGGUUGUAAAGCUCUGUCGAGUGGGACGAAAAUGCUUGGAGUUCACAGCUCCAGGAACUGACGGUACCACUAAAGGAAGCACCGGCUAACUCCGUG